GACGAACGCUGGCGGCGUGCUUAACACAUGCAAGUCGUACGGUAAGGCCCUUUCGGGGGUACACGAGUGGCGAACGGGUGAGUAACACUUGAGUAACCUGCCCACAACUUUGGGAUAACGCUAGGAAACUGGUGCUAAUACUGGAUAUGUGCCCCUUCUGCAUGGUGGGGGUUGGAAAGCUCCGGCGGUUGUGGAUGGACUCGCGGCCUAUCAGCUUGUUGGUGGGGUAGUGGCCUACCAAGGCGGCGACGGGUAGCCGGCCUGAGAGGGUGACCGGCCACAUUGGGACUGAGAUACGGCCCAGAUUCCUACGGGAGGCAGCAGUGGGGAAUAUUGCACAAUGGGCGCAAGCCUGAUGCAGCAACGCCGCGUGCGGGAUGACGGCCUUCGGGUUGUAAACCGCUUUCAGCAGGGACGAAGCUUUUUGUGACGGUACCUGCAGAAGAAGCACCGGCUAACUACGUG
rnacentral:rRNA from 1 species